rnacentral:rRNA from 1 species
GAUGAACGCUGGCGGCGUGCCUAAUACAUGCAAGUCGAGCGAACAGACGGGGAGCUUGCUCCUCUGACGUUAGCGGCGGACGGGUGAGUAACACGUGGAUAACCUACCUAUAAGACUGGGAUAACUUCGGGAAACCGGAGCUAAUACCGGAUAAUAUAUUGAACCGCAUGGUUCAAUAGUGAAAGACGGUUUUGCUGUCAUUUAUAGAUGGAUCCGCGCCGCAUUAGCUAGUUGGUAAGGUAACGGCUUACCAAGGCAACGAUGCGUAGCCGACCUGAGAGGGUGAUCGGCCACACUGGAACUGAGACACGGUCCAGACUCCUACGGGAGGCAGCAGUAGGGAAUCUUCCGCAAAGGGCGAAAGCUUGACGGAGCAACGCCGCGUGAGUGAUGAAGGUCUUCGGAUCGUAAAACUCUGUUAUUAGGGAAGAACAAAUGUGUAAGUAACUAUGCACGUCUUGACGGUACCUAAUCAGAAAGCCACGGCUAACUACGUG